rnacentral:ncRNA from 1 species
UAUAUUUGCAUCGUCUUUAAGACUACAUAAUAAUCAUUUAAAUCAAUAUUGGCAUG